rnacentral:rRNA from 1 species
CGGUCCCUAUCCAUCGUGGGCGUAGGACACAUGAGAGGAGCUGCUCCUAGUACGAGAGGACCGGAGUGGACGCAUCACUGGUGCAACUGUUGUCGUGCCAAGGGCACAGCAGGGAAGCGAAAUGCGGAUGGGAUAAACGCUGAAGGCAUCUAAGCGUGAAGCCCCCCUCAAGAUGAGAUAUCCACAUUAGACCCCUUGAAGACUACGAGGUAGAUAGGCUUAAGGUGUAAGUGCAGUAAUGCAUUCAGCUGAUAAGUACUAAUAGGUCGAACGUUUGACCAAG